GGAGGACGAGACGAGUGGGCGAGCCGAAGUAGAGCGUGGGUGAAUGGAUGUUAUUUGGCUGUGGCCACACCGUAAAGUUUGGAGCACUUACCGUGACAGCGACUGCAAAUUCCUCCAGGACGAAAUCGACCGGGUGUGGAGUACCGACCUUAAAAAUCACUGAAGUGUGUGUAGUGCAGUGGGUGAGUCUGUCUUUGACGUGUGUACACUAAAGCUUUGCAGUGCUGUGCCGUGUCCCUGUUGUCUGUACUCGCCCUCCAGGCUGAGAAAAGUUCCUGUUGGAAAGAACGUAGGCUGCCGUGGCGGUGCCCACCUAUCCCACCUACGCCCGCCUAUAACUCCGUUCUCCGGACCCAGCUCGAAGGUGAAGUGUGAAAGCAAAACAAGGGAUUUGGGUGUUACCUUAUAUCUACCUAGGAGGUCUAUGGGAGUGGAGGAGCUGUCCAGACGCUGGAGAAGAGAAGGGCGCCACGGGAAAUCAAGCAGUUAAGGAAGGACUUAGGAUUAGUCGGGAGACUGGUGGAAGUUCUGGGAAAGGACGGAAGAGCCCUUGCCCCCCCUCCCCUGGUGAUUACUUACCAAAGACCUCCAGAGUUCUCAGGCCCAGUCCCCUCCUGUCAAGAGACGAAAAUCAAAAUUUUGGAUUCCCCUUUUCUCCUUUCCUAGAUUACCUUUUUAAAUAAUUUAAAUAAAGUUGUUUUAAAUUACCCUUAACUUAUCUUGUGUGUCUGGUCCUUGGGGUGAUCUUGGGACCUCCUCGAGGUGGAAGUCGGGAAGGGGCGUGACUCGCAACACCUGUGGUCCGCUCCGACCUGUCAAAUCCUCCAAUUCGCUUAGCGACUCCACAAUUACUCUCAUCUGCUUCGCCCUACUCCAGCGCCCAAAACACUCCGUCUCACUCGUG